rnacentral:rRNA from 1 species
CGACGACCGGCGCACGGGUGCGUAACGCGUAUGCAAUCUACCUUAUACUGGAGGAUAGCCCAGAGAAAUUUGGAUUAAUACUUCAUAGUAUGUUUACCUCGCAUGGGGAAAACAUUAAAGGCUACGGUAUAAGAUGAGCAUGCGUCCUAUUAGCUAGAUGGUGUGGUAACGGCACACCAUGGCAACGAUAGGUAGGGGCCCUGAGAGGGGGAUCCCCCACACUGGUACUGAGACACGGACCAGACUCCUACGGGAGGCAGCAGUGAGGAAUAUUGGACAAUGGAGGCAACUCUGAUCCAGCCAUGCCGCGUGCAGGAAGACUGCCCUAUGGGUUGUAAACUGCUUUUAUACGGGAAGAAACGGCUCUACGUGUAGAGCUUUGACGGUACCGUAAGAAUAAGGAUCGGCUAACUCCGUGCCAGCAGCCGCGGUAAUACGGAGGAUCCAAGCGUUAUCCGGAAUCAUUGGGUUUAAAGGGUCCGUAGGUGGAUAAUUAAGUCAGAGGUGAAAGUCUGCGGCUCAACCGUAGAAUUGCCUUUGAUACUGGUUAUCUUGAAUUAUUAUGAAGUAGUUAGAAUAUGUAGUGUAGCGGUGAAAUGCAUAGAUAUUACAUAGAAUACCAAUUGCGAAGGCAGAUUACUAAUAAUAUAUUGACACUGAUGGACGAAAGCGUGGGGAGCGAACGGGAUUAGAUACCCCGGUAGUCCACGCCGUAAACGAUGGAUACUAGCUGUUCGGAUUUCGGUCUGAG